rnacentral:rRNA from 1 species
UACGUAGGGUGCAAGCGUUGUCCGGAAUCAUUGGGCGUAAAGCGCGCGUAGGUGGCUUCGUAAGUCCGUUGUGAAAGUCAAAGGCUCAACCUUUGAAUGCCGAUGGAUACUGCGAAGCUAGAGUACGGAAGAGGCGAGUGGAAUUCCUGGUGUAGCGGUGGAAUGCGCAGAUAUCAGGAGGAACACCGGUGGCGAAGGCGGGUCUCUGGGCAGUAACUGACGCUGAGGAGCGAAAGCGUGGGGAGCGAACAGG